rnacentral:ribozyme from 13 species
UUCUCUUUCUCUCUUUCUUUUCUUUCUUUCUCUCUCCUUUCUUCUCGAAUACGAGAAAGAGCAGAAGAACCAAGUCGCCAAUAGAAGAGAGGAGAACACUCAUGAAGAUACCAAUACUUUCUACUCAUGUUUAA